rnacentral:rRNA from 1 species
AGCGAACGCUGGCGGCAGGCCUAACACAUGCAAGUCGAACGAACCCUUCGGGGUUAGUGGCGGACGGGUGAGGAACACGUGGGAACGUGCCUUUAGGUUCGGAAUAACUCAGGGAAACUUGUGCUAAUACCGAAUGUGCCCUUCGGGGGAAAGAUUUAUCGCCUUUAGAGCGGCCCGCGUCUGACUAGCUAGUUGGUGGGGUAAAGGCUCACCAAGGCUACGAUCAGUAGCUGGUCUGAGAGGAUGACCAGCCACAUUGGGACUGAGACACGGCCCAAACUCCUACGGGAGGCAGCAGUGGGGAAUCUUGCGCAAUGGGCGAAAGCCUGACGCAGCCAUGCCGCGUGGAUGAUGAAGGUCUUAGGAUUGUAAAAUCCUUUCACCGGUGAAGAUAAUGACUGUAGCCGGAGAAGAAGCCCCGGCUAACUUCGUGCCAGCCGCCGCCGUAAAAC